rnacentral:rRNA from 1 species
AUUGAACGCUGGCGGUAUGCUUAACACAUGCAAGUCGAACGGUAACAGGCAAAGCUUGCUUUGCGCUGACGAGUGGCGGACGGGUGAGUAACGCGUGGGAAUCUGCCUUAUAGUGGGGGAUAGCCCGGAGAAAUCCGGAUUAAUACCGCAUAAGCCCUAAGGGGGAAAGCCGGGGAUCUUCGGACCUGGCGCUAUUAGAUGAGCCCGCGUUAGAUUAGCUAGUUGGUGGGGUAAAGGCCUACCAAGGCGACGAUCUAUAGCUGGUCUGAGAGGACGAUCAGCCACACUGGGACUGAGACACGGCCCAGACUCCUACGGGAGGCAGCAGUGGGGAAUAUUGCACAAUGGGCGCAAGCCUGAUGCAGCAAUACCGCGUGUGGAAGAAGGCCUGCGGGUUGUAAAGCACUUUCAAUCGUGAAGAAAUGUUC